rnacentral:sRNA from 1 species
CUGCGUAAGGGAUUGAAAUGAAAAUCCUUUUACUUUUUUUCUUUCAAAAGUAAAAGAUUGUAGUGGAAAGCCCGACCCGAA